rnacentral:rRNA from 1 species
ACGCACGCUGGCGGCGUGCUUCACCCAUGCAAGUCGAACGGAAAGGCCCUGCUUGCAGGGUACUCGAGUGGCGAAUGGGUGAGUAACACGUGGGUGAUCUGCCCUGCACUUCGGGAUAAGCCUGGGAAACUGGGUCUAAUACCGGAUAGGAGCCAUUUUUAGUGUGAUGGUUGGAAAGUUUUUUCGGUGUAGGAUGAGCUCGCGGCCUAUCAGCUUGUUGGUGGGGUAAUGGCCUACCAAGGCGGCGACGGGUAGCCGGCCUGAGAGGGUGGACGGCCACAUUGGGACUGAGAUACGGCCCAGACUCCUACGGGAGGCAGCAGUGGGGAAUAUUGCACAAUGGGCGCAAGCCUGAUGCAGCGACGCCGCGUGGGGGAUGACGGCCUUCGGGUUGUAAACUCCUUUCGCUAGGGACGAAGCUUUUUGUGACGGUACCUAGAUAAGAAGCACCGGCUAACUACGUG